AGCUUCAUGCGUUCCUGAGCUUGAAGCAGAUUAUCACGGAUUACUUGAUUUGCUAGUUGCCUUCGCUGAAUCAUCACCACUGGAUCUUCUACUUCAUCUUCAACAAGGAACAUUUCAGCCACUUGUGGAGGUUUAAACCCAUAUAGUGCUUGAAAGGGUGUCAUUUUGAGGGAUGUGUGGAAGCUUGUAUUAUACCACCAUUCUGCCAUUGACAGCCAAGAGUGCCAUUUCUUAGGUUGUGCAAAGGCCAUGCAUCUCAGAUAAUUUUCAAGGCAUUGAUUCACCCUCUCUGUCUGUCCGUCCGUUUGUGGAUGGUAAGAGGUGCUCAUGUGUAGUUUAACUCCCAAUGCCUUAAACAAAUCUUGCCAGAGGUGACUAGUAAAUAUCUUGUCACGGUCAGUCACUAUGACAGUAGGUAGUCCAUGCAACUUAAAUAUGUUGUCAAUGAAAGAUUUAGCUACUGUCCUGACAUUGAUUGGAUGUUUCAUUGCAAUGAAAUGAGCAAACUUGGUGAAUCUAUCCACUACUACUAGAAUCAUGUUUUUGUGGUCAGAUGUAGGCAAGCCCUCUACAAAAUCCAUACUGAUAUGUGUCCAAGCAAAAACAGGAACAGGUAGGGGUUGUAGUUUACCGGGGUAUUUCACAUGCUCUGCUUUGUUUAUUUGGCACACAGGACAUUUUUUGAUGAACUCCAUGACUUCUUUUCGCAUGCCCUGCCAGAAAAAGAUCAAAUGAAGACGGUGGUAUGUUGCUCGUUCACCAGAAUGGCCGCCUAGUUCAGACGUGUGAAAUGCUGAUAUCAGUUGUUGUCGCAUUUGCGCUGAGUUACCAAUGACAAUCUUGUUUUGGAAUCUCAAUAUGCCUUUGAUCAGUGUAUACUCGGGGUGUGAAGCAGGGUUUACUGUGAUGGCUGCUAUCUUCUUUUUGCAAUCCUCAUCAGUUGCAUAAGUUGAUAUCACAUCAGUGAUCCAAGCUGGCACAGCAGUAGUAGUAAACAUAGCCAUCAGGUUAUAUUUUACUCUUGACAAUGCGUCAGCCACUCUGUUUUCUCUUCCCUUUUUAUAUUCUACUGUAUAGUUGUAGCCAAGCAGUUUGAUGAGUAGUUUAUGUUGUACUCCUUCUGUAAGCUUUUGUUCUUGAAUAUAUUUCAAGCUUUGUUGAUCCGUUCUGAUGAUCACGGAAGAAGCAGCAAAGUAAUGUCUCCAUUUUUUUAGUGCUUCGAUUAUUGCUAAUGCCUCUUUGUCAUAGGUGGAAUAAGCUGCUGCUUUAGGUCCAAUAGCUUUGCUCAUGAAUGAUAUAGGCUGUCCAUUUUGCAUGAGAACUGCCCCUAUGCCUUGUCCACUAGCAUCAGCCUCCAAUACAAAAGGUGCUGAAAAGUUUGGCAUAGCCAGUACUGGUGCUGCCGUCAUUUUAUUUUUGAUUGUUUGGAAGGCUUGCUCUUGACUGUCCGUUCACAAGAAUGCAUCCUUUUUGAGAGCAUCAAACAUAGGUCGACAGAUGAUUCCAUAUCCUGCGAUGAAUCGUCUGUAGUACCCAGCAAGCCCUAAGAAGCUUCUUAGUUCAGUCACAUUUUUGGGGGUAGGCCAUUUAACCACAGCUUCUACCUUGAGUGGAUCCGUAGCAACUCCCUUGCCACUUAUAAUAUGCCCCAAGUACUCAACUUGCAACUGGCCAAAGCUACAUUUCUCCUUCUUUGCUGUGAGCUUGUUGUCCCUUAGGAUUUGCAAGAUGGUAGAUAAGUGGUUGAUAUGAUCCUCUUUAUUUUUGCUGUAGAUGAGAAUAUCAUCAAAGAAGACUAAUGCAAAUUUUCUUAAGACUGGAGCUAAUAGCUUGUUCAUCAGUGCUUGGAAAGUUGCAGGAGCAUUAGUCAAGCCAAAAGGCAUAACUAAGUACUCAUAGUGUCCCAAAUGUGUACUAAAAGCUGUUUUUGGGAUAUCCUCAGGCUUCAUUCGUAUUUGGUGGUACCCACUCUUCAAAUCAAUCUUUGAAAAGAUUUUUGCUCCGUGUAACUCAUCAAGGAUGUCUUCUAUGACAGACGAUAAGAACGUUGAUUGACAACCUUCGCAUCAGGUACUAGGUUGAUGGCAUGAUCACAGUCACGAGCUGGUGGCAGCUCCUGGGAUUCUGCAAAUACAUCACUGUAAGCCUGUAGGACUGGUAACAGAAAUGUUGGAGUUGUCAUUUGCACUUGUUGUUCAACUAGAAUUUUGUUGAUGAACACCAUUGCGCCACAAAUAUUUUCCUCUUGCAAUAUGUUCAAAUUCUCAGUCUCCUUGAUUGUGUUCGAGCAGGGAAGAGAUUCAUCCCAAAAAGUGACCACUUUAUCACCCACUGUUGUAAUGUUCAUGAACAUUUUCUUGUAAUCUAGGGUGACUGGGCUGUGGUGUUUAAUCCAAUCUGUGCCCAAUAUCAUGUCGUAGCCUUGUAACUGCAGUAUUUUGAAGUCAAAUUUGAGUGGCUGUUCCUGAAUAGUGAAUGCACACUGCGGAGCUUUGAACUCAGAGUACAGUGUCCCACCAUUAGCUACAAGGACUUUGACCUUUUUGUGUGGUGUGAGUGAACAUUUGGCUUUAGUUGCUAACUCUGGAGUCAUGAAUGUAGCUGUGCUACCUGAAUCGACCAGUGCAGUCGCCACUAUUGAUCCCAGUUUUGCUGUUACUGUAAAGGUAUAGUGUUCCUUGUCAGUACCUUGCACAGCAUGCAUAGAUAUUUUCGCUUCAGGUUUUGGAGGAAUUGGUAGUAAUUCCUCUUCUUCCUCUGGAUCAUAUUCUGUGACAUAAAUUAUCUCAGCGGCUUCAUCAGCUUCUGCUUGUAUGGCUUGCACUUGUGCUUUGAUGUUCAUUCUGCACACUUGUUUGUGACCAGGGAACCAUGGCUCACGACACUUGUAGCAAAGCUUUUUCAAUUUAGCUUCCUGUAUGAUAGUUGCUGGUGUUGUAGCCGGCACCAUUGGUUUUACAGGUUGUUCCAAGUACACUGGUCUACGACUCUGGUAUUGUUGUGGCUGGUACACUGGUUUUCUCGGAGGCAUUGAAUUUUCAAUUCUUCUAGCCAUCCACAUGGCAUCUUGCAUAUUGCUUGGCUUGUGACAUUGCAGGUGACUCUGAAUGUAAUCAAUGAGUCCAGAUAUAAAACAAUUCACAUAGUAAUCAUUUGGUAAACUAGGAUUGUCUCUGCGGACUAGAUUCAGUAGCCGUUCAAAUUCUUCAAUGUACUCAUUAACUGAGCCUUUCUGUGUCAAUGCAUGGAAUGCCUUGACAUUGUCACAUGCAGAAUUUUCAGCAAAACGAUCUGUGAUAUAGGUGCAGAAUUUAUACCAUGGUAAAUUGCUUGCUGUAUGGCCCGUUCCACGCCACCACUGCACAACUUUGCCUGUCAAAUAAGAUACAGCAAACUCUGUUCUUUGUUCAGUAGGAGUUCUUGCAGCAUUAAAGUACUGCUCAACCUGUUGGAUCCAUGAGUCAGCAUCAGUUCCAUUGAACUCAGUUAGCAACUUGAUCUUCAGGCUUGUACAAAGCAUUUGUGUGCCUAUAUGUGGCCCUGGGAGUGCUGUCAAGGUUCAAUUCUCUUCCUUUGUGAUCACAGAGUCGGCUAGAGCCAGCAGGAGCAGUCUGUGGUCUUGCUUGUUUGGUCGGUGCUACAUUUGCAUCAUCUUCUGCCACUCCUUUCAGUGGUAACUGAACACUGCUACCAUGACCAGAAGCUGAAGGAUGUCGCACUGCAUAGCCUUGAAUUCAAGACCCUCAGUACUUUCUGAGUCAGAUGGCUUCCCCAUGGUUCAAGAAGGAUUGACACCGUUGCAGAGUGCAACGACCCCGUCAAGAACAAUUCUACCGCUGCCAAAUCCGACGCCACGCCGCCCGCCGCCGGAAGACACACGAGCAAAGGAAUCGAGAACGGGAUUUGACACCACAGAAAGGAUCUGUGGAAACCGGGGAUUACCUCAAGCCUGUGUCCGAAUUGGUGACGCCGCCGCCAAGCCGCUUCCAGAUCGUGGUCCACCGCCGCCGAUCCCCCACCAGAAGCAGGUCUACCGCCUCCACAGCGCUGCCAAACUCCUUCGACCGCCGCCAAGAUCCAUCUGCCGCCAAGAACCGUUUGAAUCUGAUACCACUUGAUAGACUAUGCUACUACUAGAUCACUCAGGAAUGAACACACACAUGGAUUUCAGUAUUUGCCCUGGGAAUUACACACCCACAGCUACGCCUUCUUGAAUGGAAAGAGUUGGAGUUACAAGAGGCACGAGCCAGCCGGAACACGGCGGCGAGGGGAAUUAACCCGAAUGCAAAAAGAUGGGGAGCGCAGCCCCAGAUCCUAGGCCUUAUGGCCGGUACAGGCAGAAGACGAUAAAACAGUAAAGGUACUUUAGAUGGGAGCCAUAGGAUGCUUGAUCGACGGCUCUGGUAGCUUUUGACUAGUCUUCAGCAAUGGAGUAGUGCUUGACAUAGACGUUCACUUCUUUUUUCCAGAAAAACUCUAACAGAAGUUCAGUUUGUAUUCAAGCUAUAUUUUACCUGCA